UACGGAGGGGGCUAGCGUUGUUCGGAAUUACUGGGCGUAAAGCGCGCGUAGGCGGACCUGCAAGUCGGGGGUGAAAGCCCGAGGCUCAACCUCGGAACUGCCUUCGAUACUGCGGGUCUCGAGUCCGGGAGAGGUGAGUGGAAUUCCUAGUGUAGAGGUGAAAUUCGUAGAUAUCAAGCGGAACACCGGUGGCGAAGGCGGCCUUCUGGACAGUGACUGACGCUGAGACGCGAAAGCGUGGGGAGCAAACAGG
rnacentral:rRNA from 1 species